UGCUUCCACUCAGCCAAUGGCGCUGCAGUCGUGUGCUCACGGUCCCUGCUCCCCGGGUCAAGUUGUGGCAAGCAGAGGAAAGCUGAACCUCAGAGAACACAGGUGGGGACGUAGGACGGACUCCCUUGCCAUUGGAAAGCUGCUCCCAUUCUUGUAAAUAAAUAACCUGGCUAAGUAAGAUGGUCUGAGAGCACUGAGAUGCAGUGACUAUCAUCCACCUUGACGUGAAGCUGAGGCUCGCCUGGGCCAGCUGUCCUGGAAAGUGAUCAAGAAGCACCAGCCUCCUUCCUUGUUUUUUGCCACCACAGCCUGCCACCUUCUCAAGCAGCAAAAUCAGCAUCCAGCAAGGCAGCAGAUGCGCACGUGCUAACAGUGCCGAGGCAGACGAAGACGACCCUGGUGUUCACCGCGAGAGGGGCUGCCGGGGUCCCGGGAGAGUGAGCGGAGAGGAGGUACUCACCAGGUUGACGGGGCUGCUGACAUUGCUGUUCAUCAGAGACACAAGCCCGUUCACGAGAUCACUGGAGAAAGGAAAGGCCUGCUCUAGCAAUGUCUCUGCUCUCUGCUUGUUGACACACGUGAGGGCCGAGCACCAAACACACACAGUCAGUUACCCACUCUCCCAGAACGCAACAGAGAACCCAAACUGAACAGCGGAACGGCGACACAAAACCCUAUGCGUUCAGAUGGCCCAAGUUCAGCUGAAGCCUCUGUGGAUGAAAUGAUCUGAUGGCUGGGUUUGCUUUCAGGGAGCGAGGAGCAGGGUGCCCACGAGGCCAGGCUGAAAGCUGAGUGUUGGGGGCUGAUCUCUCAUCUUUGCAUAUUUCUGAAAUUAACCACCCAACUGUUUAAAGUCCACUAAAAUAUGCAUUCGCCCAAAUAGAUGGGAGUCCAUAUGAGGGUCUGAUGAAAGUCUCUGGUUUAAUGUGCAGCCAGGCAUCUGGCCUAGAUGAGAGCAGAUGAUUAAAACAAGAACAAGACCCACUGAGGUGAAAGAACUUCAAGGAUGUGCUCCCCAAACUGGCACACUACAAAUAAAGCCCAACUCCCCUGCGGGCAGAGAGAAGCUGGAGCAUCUCUCCACUCCCCUAACCUGCCCAGCGCCCCCUCCCACGAAUCGCUCUGGGGUUUCUGAAUGCUGCCGAUGGAGCAUGACUGGGCUGUGAAGGUGAAGGUAAGUAAGCAAAUGUCCGCUUACCAAAGGUUUGGUUCUUAUUGUCAGAGGCUUAAAGUGUGGCUCUGUUAAAAAAAAGUUACUUUGUAAAAAUGACACCUCACUGCCACACACACUUGCUCUUAAGUCUAUUUUA